rnacentral:rRNA from 1 species
AAAACCGGGUGAAAAACCCGGUCGCCGUAAACCCGAGGGUUCCUGGGUAAAGAUAAUCUUCUCAGGGUUAGUCGGUCCCUAAGGCGAGGCAGAAAUGCGUAGUCGAUGGGAAGCAGGCGAAUAUUCCUGCACCAGCACGGAUGGUUUUGUAAGGUGGGACGGAGGAGGAUAGCCGAGCGACCUGAUGGAUGGUCGUUCAAGCCGGUAGGCGGCUCGCGUAGGAGGCAGUUGGCCACAAACGCGCGAGUAACGCCGAGAGGUGAUGAGGGUCGCCGUAAGGCGGACAACUCGGUGAGUCCAAGCUUCCAAGAAAAGCAUCGUACAAGUGUACCGCUGUGCUGACCGUACCGUAAACCGACACAGGUGGGUGGGGAGAACAUCCCAAGGCGCUUGAGAGAACUCGGGUUAAGGAACUCGCAAAUUGACACCGUAACUUCGGGAGAAGGUGUGCCCUUGAGGGUGACGGGCCUCGCGCCAUGAGCCUUUGGGGGUUGCAGAGAAUCGGGGGUAGCGACUGUUUACCAAAAACACAGGACUCUGCGAAGUCGCAAGACGACGUAUAGGGUCUGACGCCUGCCCGGUGCCGGAAGGUUAACAGGAGAUGUCAGCGUAAGCGAAGCAUCGAAUCGAAGCCCCGGUAAACGGCGGCCGUAACAAUAACGGUCCUAAGGUAGCGAAAUUCCUUGGCGGGUAAGUUCCGUCCUGCACGAAUGGCGUAACGACUUCCCCACUGUCUCGACCCGGGACUCAGCGAAAUUGAAAUCGGGGUGAAGAUGCCCCGUACCCGCGGCAAGACGGAAAGACCCCGUGAACCUUUACUGCAGCUUGGCACUGGUUUUCGGACUUGUCUGUGUAGGAUAGGUGGGAGGCUAUGAUGUGGGGCCGCUAGGUUCCACGGAGCCAACGUUGAAAUACCACCCUGAGAAGUCUGAAAGCCUAACCGUGACCAGUAAGCCUGGUCCGGGACACUGCCUGGUGGGUAGUUUGACUGGGGCGGUCACCUCCGAAAGAGUAACGGAGGCGCGCAAAGGUUCCCUCAGGCUGAUUGGAAACCAGCCGAAGAGUGUAAAGGCAUAAGGGAGCUUGACUGCAACUCAUACAAGAGGAGCAGGCACGAAAGUGGGCCUUAGUGAUCCGGUGGUUCUGAAUGGAAGGGCCAUCGCUCAACGGAUAAAAGGUACUCCGGGGAUAACAGGCUUAUCACGCCCAAGAGUUUAUAUCGACGGCGUGGUUUGGCACCUCGAUGUCGGCUCAUCGCAUCCUGGGGCUGUAGUAGGUCCCAAGGGUUUGGCUGUUCGCCAAUUAAAGCGGUACGCGAGCUGGGUUCAAAACGUCGUGAGACAGUUUGGUCCCUAUCUGCCGUGGGCGCAGGAAACUUGAAGUGGAGCUGUCCCUAGUACGAGAGGACCGGGAUGGACAGACCCCUGGUGUUCCGGUUGUUUUGCCAAGAGCAUCGCCGGGUAGCCAUGUCUGGAACGGAUAACCGCUGAAC